AUUGAACGCUGGCGGCAGGCCUAACACAUGCAAGUCGAGCGGUAGAGAGGUGCUUGCACCUCUUGAGAGCGGCGGACGGGUGAGUAAUGCCUAGGAAUCUGCCUGGUAGUGGGGGAUAACGCUCGGAAACGGACGCUAAUACCGCAUACGUCCUACGGGAGAAAGCAGGGGACCUUCAGGCCUUGCGCUAUCAGAUGAGCCUAGGUCGGAUUAGCUAGUUGGUGAGGUAAUGGCUCACCAAGGCGACGAUCCGUAACUGGUCUGAGAGGAUGAUCAGUCACACUGGAACUGAGACACGGUCCAGACUCCUACGGGAGGCAGCAGUGGGGAAUAUUGGACAAUGGGCGAAAGCCUGAUCCAGCCAUGCCGCGUGUGUGAAGAAGGUCUUCGGAUUGUAAAGCACUUUAAGUUGGGAGGAAGGGUCGUUACCUAAUACGUGACGAUUUUGACGUUACCGACAGAAUAAGCACCGGCUAACUCUGUGCCAGCCGCCGCGGUAAAAC
rnacentral:rRNA from 1 species